CCAAACCAUUUUUUUUUUUUUUUUGUAAACCAUUUAAAGGAAAAGAAAAUUGCCUCGAAAAGCCCAAUUAAGGCCCAAUCUGUCAAUCGCUUACGAUAUAAUCUCACCAGGAUUCUGAUUUCCCGGCAACGUUUUCCGAUACUCAAUUUUUUCUUUCUUCUUUGAACUUCCUUGUUCGAGAACUUGGCGAAGAAGCUCAUACAUUUGACAAUGGCAGUGUCGACGUUUUCGAGCCCCACGGCUGUCUCCGGCAUCGCUGAACCACCAGCAUCAUUCUCCUCCGCCGCAAUUGGCUGGAAGCAACCGUUGCGUUUUCGGAGGAAGAAGAAGCCUCGAGUAAUCUCGUGCGAUUAUUCUUGCAUCGAGGUUAGGGAUGUCUGCUACCGUCCUCCUGGAACACAAUUGAAUAUCUUGAAUGGUGUUAAUUUUUCCCUGCGUGAGAGAAGCUUUGGCUUGAUUUUUGGCAAGAGUGGGAGUGGUAAAACUACCCUUUUGCAGCUUCUUGCUGGGCUAAACAAACCGACAUCAGGUUCCAUUUGUAUCCAAAGAUAUGGGGAUGAUGGCCAGCCUAAGGCGGUUCCUGAGUUGCUGCCCACUGAAAAAGUAGGCAUUGUUUUCCAGUUUCCAGAGAGAUUCUUUGUUGCAGAUAAUGUGCUUGAUGAAAUUACUUUUGGUUGGCCAAGGCAGAAAGGUAGUUUGCAGCUUAAGGAGCAACUGACUUCGAAUCUCCACAGAGCAUUUAAUUGGGUUGGAUUAGACAGCAUCCCACUUGAUAAAGAUCCUCAGUUACUAAGUGGAGGCUACAAACGUCGACUUGCACUAGCUAUUCAAUUGGUGCAAACUCCAGAUUUACUGAUACUGGAUGAGCCCCUCGCUGGUCUUGAUUGGAAAGCACGUGCAGAUGUUGCAAAGCUCUUGAAGCACCUUAAGAAGGAACUGACUUUACUUGUUGUAAGUCAUGACCUAAGAGAGUUAGCGGCCUUGGUCGACCAGUCAUGGAGGAUGGAAACAGGGGGUGUUCUUCUUGCAGAACGUCCACCACUUUAGUUCAAUGUUCACUAUUGCGGAAGGUCCAUACCAGCUCCAACACGAAGUCUGCAAAUCAAUUAUGGAUCAUUAGCUGGUUGGGCCACAAGCAGAACACUUGUGCAUGCCUAAAUUGUUCUCCGUUUUUGGCUGAGCGAGAACUUCUCAGCUCAUACUGGAUACAUCUAUUACUUGCCUCAUGACAGGGGUUCACCUUCUCGAAUGUUAAGUCAAUAGAAUUUGCUUUGCUGUUUUUUGGAUUUGCCACGCUGCUGUAUAUUUCGGUUUCCAUUAUGGAUUCUUCUGGAUGUACUUUCCUAUGGAAAACUUGUACCAUCUGCACUCCUCACAUGAAAUUCAAGUUUGUUAGGAGCAAGCUUUUCAUUGGAGUA